UCGAAGUUUGUUUCAGUUCUUUCUCCAUUGCCUCUGACUCUUUCUUGUAGGUAUUGUCAGUUUUUUCGCUUUUGAGUUCGUCAGUCUAGAGCAGGGUCGCUUUUCGUGAUUUUUUUUUCCUUCUCUUUUCUUCUCUUUUCUUGUUUUUGUAAGUCUGUCCGCGAAAUGGAUUUUUGUGGUUAUCAGAAUCAAAAGAGUUUUUAGAGUUCAAUGUCUGUCUUUUUUAUUUAUUAAUGCAUGCGGAUUCUGUAAUUUCGAUGAUGGUUAUGGCUAUGGUUAGUGAGAUUAAUUGUGUAUUAGCGAGACUGAUUGAUUAAUCUCUUGGCAUAUGUUUGGAAAAAGUAGUCAUUGUGGUGUUUUUGUUAAUACUUGUGAUUUUACUAUUCUAGUGUUUUUUUUAUUGCAGUUGAAGGUAGAAGAAACAAAGAAUCAGUCUCAAAUUGGCAUAGUCCCUUUUCGAACCAUUCCUCCUCGGAAACAUUUUCAUGUUGUCGUUUAUCUGCUUGAGCACAAAGACUCUUGUGAUGGAACACAUUCCGUGGCAUUUCACCGUGGGAAUAUUCACUAUCUCCUCCUCAAUGCAUUCGUAAUACUAGUAUUGGUUGUGAGCUUUCUCUUGUAGUUUGAUAGUUUACUGUUUUCAGUUAUCCUGCUAAGGUAGCUAUUUGUGUUGAGAAUCUUUAGUUUGGCUCUUUCCAUGCAUUUGACGCGUCGCCAAUUGUUAUUCUAACAUAAUGGGUAUUCAUCUUUUAACUUAACGUAUAGCGGCGCCUUUAAAGUUUGACACACCCUGCUGACCAAUGGAAUAACAGCCUUGAUAACCAACCGGUCCAAAAGGUAUCUCUAGUCCUUUCUUUUUCUCCUUUUCAUCAGUGCAGCUUUGACUCUAUAUAUACAUUGGUCGGAAUCCAGUUGAGGAUUUUGAGUUAUAAAACUAGGAAAAAAUAAAUACAAUUGCACAACUUCUUGUAUGGUCCGAUGACUUGUUUGGUGGAAAAAGACCAUUCAUUGAGGUUGAGACUAGAAAAUGAAAUUUGUGGUUCAAGAAGUGUAAAAGCGUCCAUACAUAUACACCUUGUUGAUAUGCUGGUGUUAUACAAUCAAAUGGAUGCGAAAUUGAUCUUGUAGAGUUGAUGAUAUCUCUUUUGUCUGAGUUAGUCUUUGUGAGUGAUAACUCUACAACAUUCUUUGCCAAAGUAACUACUGCAUAGUCAUAUCGCUUUUUAUCUUUUGUUGUUCUAGUGACGCAGGGAAGCACAAACGUGCUCUGCAACAUCUUUACAUAACAUUUUUAGUUGUCGUGUUGGUCAAUGCUGGUAACUGACUAGCCAUAGUGGCUUAUUUUCACUGUUUCCAUUUCCCUACAAACCUCCAAAGCAUCAUCAAAUGUCUGAUUUUGCGCCUAGCAACUAACAAGUUCCAAGAGACCACAUCUCUCCCUUAGCAUCUCAUAAAGCCCUAUCUUAUUGUACCUCUCCUUGAAAAUGUUUGAUUAAAGAAGCCACCACGCGAUUUCAUGGGUACUACAGAGGAAGGGACCUGCUUACAUACUUAUAUUCCCAACUACAGGUUGCUGAUCCUGCUCACAGGUGCUAUGCUUAAGUUUUUUGUUCCUUAAAUCUUGUGAGGCAUAUUGUGAGUUUAUAAGAUCUUGGAUAUAUAAAGCCGAGCUUAACGAUCCUCACAAGAAGUUCAUUGUGGAAUGUGUGAGUCAACCAACAUCUUUUCUGGUAAUAAGCCUGGCAUCUCCCCAUUGGAAAGCGUGAGGGUAAUAUUUUCUUUGCGUUUACUGCAUCUUGGAUUUUUGUAUCUUUUCUGCACCCUAGGAGCGAGAAGAAGGGCUUGUUCCAUGUUUCUUGAACGGCUUACUGGUACACCUAUAACUAAGGGCUGGUUAACAGGUCCAUGUUGACACAAAAAUUACACGGACCUUCUUCCCUGCUGGACGUAUUCCAAUGGCGAUGGAGAAGAAAUUCAGAAAAGUUCUGGUCUCUUAAUUUUAGUAUAAUUCUAUUUUUAGUACAAUUAAUUUGCAUCUGCAUUUAAUUUGCUCUGGUCUCUUAAUUUUAGUAUAAUUAAUUUCUA